AACGAACGCUGGCGGCAGGCUUAACACAUGCAAGUCGAACGCCCCGCAAGGGGAGUGGCAGACGGGUGAGUAACGCGUGGGAACAUACCCUUUCCUGCGGAAUAGCUCCGGGAAACUGGAAUUAAUACCGCAUACGCCCUACGGGGGAAAGAUUUAUCGGGGAAGGAUUGGCCCGCGUUGGAUUAGCUAGUUGGUUGGGUAAAGGCCUACCAAGGCGACGAUCCAUAGCUGGUCUGAGAGGAUGAUCAGCCACAUUGGGACUGAGACACGGCCCAAACUCCUACGGGAGGCAGCAGUGGGGAAUAUUGGACAAUGGGCGCAAGCCUGAUCCAGCCAUGCCGCGUGAGUGAUGAAGGCCUUAGGGUUGUAAAGCUCUUUCACCGAUGAAGAUAAUGACGGUAGUCGGAGAAGAAGCCCCGGCUAACUUCGUG
rnacentral:rRNA from 1 species